rnacentral:tRNA from 1 species
GCCUGGGUGGCUCAGUCGGUUAAGCGUCUGACUUCGGCUCAGGUCAUGAUCUUGCAGUCCGUGAGUUCGAGCCCCACGUCGGGCU